AGAUGUUAAAAGCAAGAGACAUGGGAGAGCAUCAUUCCUUUGAGAUUUUAUAACUCAAACCAACUUUGGAGUUGUCUGAUUUGGAGAGUCAUUAUUCUUGGUCUUCGCUCUUAGAGGCCACUGAUGAAGAACAGGCGGUGACUGGGAUGAAUGCUGGUCAGAGAGGAGAAUCUUCUUUCCCCUAAACUGAUGCAGCGUUGGUUUUAAAGGAGGACGUUGCCCUGGAUGAUGUAGAAGAAGUCAGAUGCUGUGCUGAUGGGGUUUCUUCAUGAUUACAUCAGUUAUGCUAAAGAGAUCAUGAAAAUUGACCGUGAUGCAUGAUCUGUAUUCAUGGACUAUGAAACAAACUGUAAGUGUAUAAUUUGUAAAAAAAAAAAAAGUUAAAUGCUUUUUCUGUGUUGUUUAGUAGAAGAGUUUACACUCUGUCAUUCAUACACCUGCUCACAUUCUUACACACACACACACACACACACACACACACACACACACACAUACACACACACACACACACACACACACACAUGCGUCUGUUAAAUGUUAUAAUAUCAAAGUUAAUGUUGUGAUUUAUUUGUGUACUGUCAUGCCAGAAUAGUUGGAAAAAAAACCUAACUAAUUGUAAAUUUAUUGUAUGUGUUUUCGUAUAUUUUUAUACAAUAUAUACAAUUGAACAAAGUCCAAUUUGAUCUUAAGUUAUAUUCAUCAAAUGUUCAAUGCUUUGUUUAUGAACUCUGUAGCUGUUAAUGCCAUCCUUUUCUGCAUUUCUUCUAACAUGUUACUUUUUGACUUUUCUCUUGUUUUUAAUAAAUAUUUUCCUUUUGGUAAUUAUUAUUUGUGUGUAAAAGUGAUAUUUAAAAUGAACAACAUUUGUAGGUUUAAUGCCUAGCUCAAUUUGGGUUAAUUUUAACGUAGAAAUGCAUUGUUUCCCCACAUGGCUGCACUCUGCGAGUUUAUUUUCUGCCAGCAGGAGGCGCUAAGAGCGGGAGAGGUAGGUUUCUCCGGUAACGGCUGCAGAGCCGUGCUGAGCUCACAAACGCUGCCUUAUCAAGCACAUGCGAAAUGAUAUCGAACAUUUUCUAAAUACAGUAGUUUUCCUUCUGAAAUACAGUGAUAAAAAACACCCGCUCUGUUUUUUUUAAACCCUGCAAUAUAGUCAUUUUAAACCAUAAAAAAGGCAAC